AUUGAACGCUGGCGGCAGGCUUAACACAUGCAAGUCGAACGAGUGGCGGACGGGUGAGUAAUGCCUGGGAAACUAGCUUAUGGAGGGGGAUAACUACGGGAAACUGUAGCUAAUACCGCGUACCAUAGGAUGAGCCCAAGUGGGAUUAGUUUGUUGGUGGGGUAAAGGCUCACCUAGGCGACGAUCCCUAGCUGGUCUGAGAGGAUGAACAGCCACACUGGAGCUGAGACACGGCCCAGACUCCUACGGGAGGCAGCAGUGGGGAAUAUUGCACAAUGGGCGCAAGCCUGAUGCAGCCAUGCCGCGUGUAUGAAGAAGGCCUUAGGGUUGUAAAGUACUUUCAGCGGGGAGGCGUUACCCGCAGAAGAAGCACCGGCUAACUCCGUGCCAGCAGCCGCGGUAAUUC
rnacentral:rRNA from 1 species